rnacentral:rRNA from 1 species
AUGUUGGUUAAGUCCCGCAACGAGCGCAACCCUAUUGUUAGUUGCCAUCAUUCAGUUGGGCACUCUAGCGAGACUGCCGGUAAUAAACCGGAGGAAGGUGGGGAUGACGUCAAAUCAUCAUGCCCCUUAUGACCUGGGCUACACUCGUGCUACAAUGGUUGGUACAACGAGUUGCGAGUCGGUGACGGCGAGCUAAUCUCUUAAAGCCAAUCUCAGUCCGGAUUGUAGGCUGCAACUCGCCUACAUGAAGUCGGAAUCGCUAGUAAUCGCGGAUCAGCACGCCGCGGUGAAUACGUUCCCGGGCCUU